UACGUAGGUGGCAAGCGUUGUCCGGAAUUAUUGGGCGUAAAGCGCGCGCAGGCGGUCUCUUAAGUCUGAUGUGAAAUCCCGUGGCUUAACCACGGGCGGUCAUUGGAAACUGGGGGACUUGAGUGCAGAAGAGAAGAGCGGAAUUCCACGUGUAGCGGUGAAAUGCGUAGAGAUGUGGAGGAACACCGGUGGUGUAGACGGCUCUCUGGACCGUAACUGACGCUGAGACACGAAAGCGUGGGUAGCAAACAGG
rnacentral:rRNA from 1 species